AAAAAUGUAAGGUGAAAAUUACAAAAUAACAAGAAGUAAAUAAUCUAUGAUUUCUCAUUUUUUCCCAUUUCACAGUAAAGGAAAACAUUUUCAAUGUUCUGAUCAGUUUAAUUUUUAUUUCAAUACAUUAUCUCUUCCUUGUCAAUAUAUUUGGGCAAUUUCAACUACUUGUCUACUCGUGGCAGGUUUGUUAGAGAAUGCUUAUAUUCUGGCAACUUUUCAGGAAAAGAUUCACGGCUGAUAAUUGAGUUGAUGUUAUACUGGAACUUACAUGGUUAGAUAAAUAGAUGGCGUGUGAUUUUAUGUGUUCAUAAAUAUCAGUGUGUCUUUUAAGGUCGUGGUGAGUGGAGGGCUUCAAGAGUGGUAUAGCUGCCAUCUGUAUGAACUAUGGAUUAUUAGCUCUCACAAGAAAAGGAGUAAGUUUUCUUGAAAGGCAGUAAAGACCUAGUCCUUGACGUGUUGUUUGAUAAAAUAGUUCAGCAAUUUGUUGGCCCCACAUUUUUUACUAUUUCUGAUUGCAUAGUUGGUGAGUAGUCUAAAAGUUGGCAAGCUGGGAAAAUGGAGCUCUUAUGGCUUGUAGGAAAGAGGAUUUAACACCAGCGCAAGUAAAUGGAUAGUUGCUCAUAUGCAGUUUAGGUCCCACAAAGAAAGCAAUCAUUCUAACACUGGGUGGAAGAUAGCUGGAAGUGGGAAGUUACUCAUAGUGUCCAUUAUUCAAUAUUUUUUGGUGAUGCAUUCUUUUGCCCAAACCAAUCAUUAUUCUUAUAUUUAUACCCAGUGCGGUGCAAACUUCCCCUAAAACCACUCCAUUGUGAAAUGCCACAUUGAAUAGACAAGAAGAGCAGAAUCUCUGGAGUUUGGAGAAUCCUGCAAGGGUGCCCACUGGCUCCCCACCAAGGGUUUUGAGUUGAAAAGGUCUGAAGCAGGAUUUUCCCCCUGUUAAUCAUGAUUUUUCCAGGGGUAAUACUUUGAGCACUUUCUUAUGUCCCCCACGCCACCCACCUGCCUAGCCCAGGCUGCAUGUCAAUAGCCACUUUUAUCUAGCUCUGAAUAGGAAAACAUUAGGUUCCAGUGAAUAUACUCUGAGCUGAAAUGGUAAAGAGCAUCUGGCACUUAAAAGAGACCAAAUCAAGCAAAUCUCACUUCCUUCAAGUCAGCUGUCAAGAUUAAAUAUCAUAUAUGAAUACAAGUAGUAUGGAAAAUAUUUAUCCAAAUAUGUUUAUUUUCUAAUUUUAACAUGCAUAACAAAUGGCUUAUAUAUGGUACAGUUAUUGAGCUAAUAGUUUGCAACAACUUGUUGAAAGAUAUAUGUCCUCUUGUGCCUACCUACUCCACAGUCAAGAGUAACGGUCUGCUGAAUAUUUUUAUCAGAAAGAAGAGAUUUAAUUAUUGCUAUUGACUAAAAAUCUCCUGACAGUCUGUCUUAUGAGAGACGCUACAACAGUUAAAAAUUAAUCAUGUAGCCUGAUUGUCAGUAUGUUUACCAGUUUAUAAUCAAUAUGACUCCUGCAGCAGUGUCAUGUAAGAGUAUGAAGUGUUUUUCUACAGAGAGUUCAGAUGGACAUAGGGCACCACAAAUGUACUCUCAGCUUGAACCAGAUGAACAAAAGAAGGUCCUUUGAAGAGCAAGGAGUAGCUGAUACUCAAGGGCCUGCCUCCAACUUAUGUUUCUCCCCAGGAAUCAUCACUUACAGUGUUUUUAUUUCCCAAAGUCUCCCAGCAUUUCUUCUUUGUAAGCUAAAAGAUAUAGAAUAGAGCAUCAAAUUAGGUUACACAAUAGAAUAUGAGUAAACAGACAAAAAAAGAAAAGAGAAUAAACUGAGUAAAUAGAAAUAAAACAUUUGCCAACCGCCGGGACAAAUGAAAUCGCCUUACGUCAGGCACCAAAGACAAUCACCCCUGCACUGUAGCACAUCUGUAAAGGAAGAUAAAGAGUAUGAAGCUUUAAUAGUCAAGGAAGAGAAUUAAAUACCUCAUCCUCUCCAUUAUCUGAAGGAAAGAGAGGCAUUAGGGAAACUCACCAAUGCAUCAGAUCGCCUUUGCCAAAAUAUAGUGGGAUACAGACUACGAAUUCGACUACCUUUUUGUUUCUGUUUAUUAUUUGGUUGGUUAAUUUUAUUUUAGCGUAGGAUUUUGUCUUCCUUUUGUCAUUGGUUUCUAAACAAGGAUGGAGGCUCUUGGAAAUCCCGUGAAUAAUUCCUCACACUAAGGAGCAUCUCUGGAGGAAGCCUGGAAAGACUUUUGAAUAUCUGAGGACAAAUCAGAGCCCAUUGUGAGAAGAACCCACGGCCCCAACGAAUGAACUGAGGUCCAGGAUUCCGGGAGUCCAAAACGUGUGUGAGGGAUUGUGUUCUGACCCUCCCUGCAAUGGCAUAUUGAUCUUCCCUAGAAUGAGUGUCAGGAGCUCUUUCUAAUCAUGUGUAAAGCAAAGAACUGUAAUUACAGGAUAAAAUGAGAAUUUCAUGAUGACAAAACAUCACUAUACUGAUCUUUUAAGUCCAUUAAAGAUGGACUUAAAUCUAUGUACCAAAGCAACAUAUUAGAAAUCCUGGUAAUUUAGAAGGAUUAUGAACCUGAAGGUGGAAGACAAGAAGGAAGGUGUCAUCAAUCUUGGUAAUGUUCCUAGAGGGGAGGCCAUAAGAUGUUCCAGUGCCAGAAAAUCACGAUUUCAUCUUUCUUCUUCAUCUCCGGAGAAAGCAACAGCUGGAUGGAUGGCGCCUGUGUUCUACCACCACGACUGAAAUUUUUUUUAAAUAGGGAAGAAUAAAUCAGUAUUGCUUGGUCACUGUGUUUUGUACUUCUUGGAAUGCAAUUUUAUGGCUGUAGUAAACAGAACAUUUUAAAUGUCCCUCUGAAGAUGUCUGGUUCUAAUUUCUAGAACCUGAGAAUAUGAUAUCAUCCUCAGACUCUUGAGUUAUAUGCCAUGAUUGAACUUAAAAUAGAGAGAUUGCUCUGAGUUAUCCUUGUGGGCUCUAUGUAAUUACAUGAGCCCUUAAAAACAGCAUUCUUUGGCUGCGGACAGAAGGAAACAGCAGAGAUGGGGAGUUUGAGAAGGACUCAACACACUCUUGCUGGUUAGAAGAUACAGAGUCACACGAGAAGAAACACGAGCGGCCUUAAGGAGGAGAGAGGCCCCCGACAGCCAACAAGGAAGAGAGAUCUCAGUUCUACCACUGCGAGCAUUUGAUUCUGUCAAAAAUUUGGAUGGACUUGAGAGCAAAUUCUUUCCAGAACUUCUAGAUAAGGGACCUAUCUGGCUGAAACUUUGAUUUUGACCUUGAGCACAGAACCCACUGAACUCGCUUAAAAUCACCUACAGAACUGUGAGGUAAUGAAUGGGUGUUCUUUUAAGCUAAAUUUGUGACAAUUUGCGACACAGCAAUAGAAAAGCAAAAAUAGCUUGAAAAGUGGUAGAUAAAACAGUGGUAAAUUGAAUAGCUUGAAAGAUUUACUGUCAUUGUGGUUAACUUAACAUCAUUUGUAUAAACACUACAUAUAUUAAAGACAAGAGAGUACUAAAUUGGGUGAUUCGUGUUGUUCGAGACAACUGAGGUUCCAUAUUGAUGACUGAGUCUACUAAGCCCCACCUCCCCAUUUUAAUUCCCUUCUCCCUGGCCUGUGUCCAUAGUUGUCCUUGUCCACUCCUACCUGUCCUACCGAUGUGGAUACAGUGUAUUUUGUUAUCACUAAUAUGAUGUGUAUUUCUCAACAGGAUACUUAAAAACGCUUUAAGGGAAUCAGUUAUUGUGUAGUCAUCCCUAUUUUUACAGGUUAGCAUAUGCUUUUCUUUAUAAAAGUGAUUUAUGAUAUACUUUUGAUAUAUACAUGUGUGUGGUAUGUGGUCCAAGAGACAGCUUCGUGUGAUACCAGAGCAAUGAGCUAGAAAUCGAUCUUGCUGAGGGCAAGUGCUUUCUCUGUGUUGUCACCCACUCACUUGUCUGCACUUACCCUACCAUUACCACCACCAAAAACAAAAAAGAAAGAAAGAGAGGACACGGCACAAAUUAGAUGUUUAAUAAAUGUUAGUUUUUAUUUGCUGCCUUUGAAUUUCCCAUAGCACCUAGAAUUAUGUCGCAUAUAAAAUUGACGUAAUACAUAUUUUAUGAACAUAUUUGUGAAUUGCCUACUUGGUUUAUAAACUCAUAUUGUCCUCAUUUAGAUUUUCAUUGAUUUGAUCUCAACGUAAGUUCAAG
rnacentral:lncRNA from 1 species